rnacentral:lncRNA from 1 species
UUAGGCUAAGCAUUACUAUCAUCACUUAUCAUCAGACAAUGCAUUACUUUCAAUCUGUUUUCAGUUCAUGAGCUUCAAACAAUAUCAUUUCACAUUUAGCAAACUCAUUACUUAACAGGAGCAAGCAUUUUACUCUUUAAACACUAAACAAGCCUUUAAAGCAUCCUGGGACAGAUUCAACUAAUUAUAUUUAGCAAUCACACAUUAUCCUCAGGGUUUUCAAUCAUUACACACCACAAUAACCAGGCACAGUCACAACACAAGCUCAAUAUCAAGAAGGUUUUAAAGAAUCGCUUACACAAGGAACCAGGUUGGUUCCUUAAGCCUCCAAAGGCAAUCUGGCCAUGAUAUGGUUGGAUUCAAGAGUCUAGGUCGUCACCCAACUCCUUCUCCUUCAGUCCAUGGCCUCCUUCUUGUUUCUCACACCCAAAGACCCCUCCUUUCUUCAUACUUCAAACCGGCUUCUCUUAGCUUCAUCUUUCUUGUAUCCGGAUGUGAUAAGCUCUUGGACAAGGAGCUUUGGCUUGAGGUUCAUGACGCCUCUCCAUC